rnacentral:lncRNA from 1 species
CGCAGCCAUGGACAUACUCUCCAGCCCGAUCUCCAAUUCUCUCUCUACGACGAACAGAAUGAGAAGCCGAAUCCAUGUUCUUAAAAAGCUGAUCCAUUACAAGUUGAGACCAAUUCAACUGUCCAAUUUCGUCCACAUUUUCAAUAUAAUAGAAGAGUCUUAAAGGAAUUGUCAUCUUCGAUGUUGGUAAUAGGAAUGAUGAGAAUAAUAGGCAAAGCCAUAAUUUAAAACAAUCCAGAACAUGAU